rnacentral:rRNA from 1 species
AUUGAACGCUGGCGGCAGGCCUAACACAUGCAAGUCGAGCGGAUGAAGGGAGCUUGCUUCUGGAAUCAGCGGCGGACGGGUGAGUAAUGCCUAGGAAUCUGCCGGGUAGUGGGGGAUAACGUCCGGAAACGGGCGCUAAUACAGCAGACGUCCUGAGGGAAAAAGUGGGUGAUCUUGGGACCUCACGCUAUCAGAUGAGACUAGGUUGGAUUAGCUAGUUGGUGGGGUAAAGGCCGACCAAGGCUACGAUCCGUAACUGGUCUGAGUGGAUGAUCAGUCCAACUGCAACUGAGACACGGUCCAGACUCCUUCGAGAACCAGCAGUCGGGAAUGUUGGACUAUCGGCGGAUGCCUGAUCCAGCCAUGCCUCGUGUUUGAAGCAGUUCUUCGGAUUGUAAAACACUUUAAGUUAGGAGGAAGGGCAGUAAGUGAAUACCUUGCUGUUUUGACGUUACCAACAGAAUAAGCACCGGCUAACUUCGUG